rnacentral:rRNA from 1 species
GAGUUUGAUCGUGGCUCAGACGACGCUGGCGCAGGCUUAACACAUGCAAGUCGGAACGCCCGCAAGGGGAGUGGCAGACGGGUGAGUAACGCGUGGGAAUCUACCCAGAUCUUCGGAACAACUGAGGGAAACUUCAGCUAAUACCGGAUACGCCCUACGGGGAAAGAUUUAUCGGUUCUGGAUGAGCCCGCGUUGGAUUAGCUAGUUGGUGAGGUAAUGGCUCACCAAGGCGACGAUCCAUAGCUGGUCUGAGAGGAUGAUCAGCCACACUGGGACUGAGACACGGCCCAGACUCCUACGGGAGGCAGCAGUGGGGAAUAUUGGACAAUGGGCGAAAGCCUGAUCCAGCC